UACGAAGGGGGCUAGCGUUGCUCGGAAUCACUGGGCGUAAAGGGUGCGUAGGCGGCGCGGUAAGUCGGGUGUGAAAUCUCGGAGCUUAACUUCGAAACUGCAUUCGAUACUGCCGUGCUAGAGUACUGGAGAGGAGAUUGGAAUUUACGGUGUAGCAGUGAAAUGCGUAGAUAUCGUAAGGAAGACCAGUGGCGAAGGCGAAUCUCUGGACAGUUACUGACA
rnacentral:rRNA from 1 species